AAACCCAGAGCUCUGUUUCACCACCAGGGGCCUUUCAGUAACACUUCUGUACGGUACAUUUGAGAAUGGUUAAGUGGGUAAAUUGUAUGUGUUUUAUACCACACUUUUCUAGAAAGUGCUAUGACAGCAGGGCAAAGAUGGCUUGAAGUGAGAAGGUGUCCCUUCCUCCACUGCUGUCUUUUUCUGCCGCAUCCCACUUACCACCUUUUCCAACCUUUCCUCUUUGUGAGCAGCAGGACUCACUCUCACCUGCCCGGUGUCUUUCAAGGGAUUAAUGCAUGUUCCCUUCUGGUCUCGGUGGUGACAGAGAAGGGAUGCAGGGGGAUCCUUGGGGUGAUCCCUCCAACUCUGUCCUACCUGGUGAGGCUCUCUCUUUGCCUGGGACAGGGAACCAGUUGGAGCAGAAGGAGAGGGACAUUUAGGGCAAGAGGUUCUUAGGAAGAUGGAGCACAUGCAUCUAGUGAGAAAACUAGCCUGGCAUUAACCGUCAUGGGCACGAAUGCCCUCUUUUGUGUUUCCUUUGGUGGAGAAGAAGGAUCCUGUGACACUCGUCACCUUGUGGCUCUGAAGUGACUUCAGGUAAUAAAGAUGAGAGACAAAAUACAAUGAAAAGCUAUUGCUCCAUUGCUCUUACUGCUCAUGAAAUUCCAAGGGUUUGGGAACUGUGAGCCAGGAACGGUGGACUAAGUCCAAAUAUGAGAAGUAAGCAUUUGGCCACCUGAGGAACCAAAUACAUACUCCUUGUAAAUCACAGUGUCACAGAAGGACCAAUGGAAACCACUGAACUGUGACAGAGGGAAGGUUAAAUGGAUCAGCACAUUCACACCAAGGACUGUUGUGGCCAUGUGAAGCUCACAGUAAGCAGACAAUGCUCCAAUCAACUGAGCCACCCAGCCAGGGCUUAAAACAGUUUUUAAGUGUUUGCAACACAGCAGUUGAAAGAAUUUGAGCACAUGAGUGAGCAGGGAAAAUGAAAGGAAGAAGAUUCCCUGAGGAAGCAGGAAUACGUAAUGAUAGCAUAGGUAGUAGCAGAAGCAGCUCAUAUUCAGUUAGGAAUCGAAAGGGACCAGACUGUGUUCUAAAUGCUUUACAAGCAUUAACGCCAAUUCCUGAUGACUGUGAAGUCAGUGUUGUCAGUCAGGGAAAUGGAGACACAAGGAAGGUCAAGCAGCUGGCCCAAUCUGAUAUGCCCAACCCAAAUGAACCACUGUAUUAAUUUUCUGUUGCUGCAUGACAAGUUAGCACACAGUGGUUUAAAACAACCACCAUCUGUUAUCUUACAGUCCUGUAGGUCACCAGUCUGGGCAGGUUCAACUGGAUUCUCUGCUUAGCAUCUCCCAUGACCAAAAUCAAGGUGUCUGCAGGGCUGGGCUUUUAUCUAGAGGCUCUGGUGAAGAGUAUGCAUUCGUUAUUGGGGUUGGAAAAACUGAAUUCCCUUAGCUCUGGGACUGACUUCCCCUCUCCUUGCUAGCCUGUGAGUUAGAAUCUGCUACAGUUAGUAAUUCCAGUCUGUGGUACCCCGUGCAUCGCAGCUCUUCGUCUUUACCUUUGAAGUCAGCAGCAGCAUGUGGAAUAUUUUGCUGGCUUGGAAUUGGUAAAAACUCUGGAACUUUACAGGGCCCUUACGAUUUGGCUAGGAACACCCAGGUAAUUUCCCUCUUCUUAUGCUUGUAACAAUGAUCAAAUCAUAAGAAUAAAAUUCAUCACGUUAACAGUCUUGGAGAUUAAGGGAGAAAUCUUGGGGCUGUUUUAGAAUUCUGCCUCCCAUAACUAUGAUGAUGGAUUGGUAGGUUGGCAGGUUGGCAGGUUGUCUUUGUGAAGGGAGGUCUGAGUGCUCCCAAAACCUUCCU